GGAGAAAUGGCUCAGUGGUUAAGAGCAUGGGCUGCCAUUCCAGAGGACCUGGGUUCAAUUCCCAGCACCC
rfam:Neotoma lepida isolate 417 scaffold_2718, whole genome shotgun sequence.